CGCAAGCGGAGCAACGGAAAUAUUCUCCAUCCAGGUUCAGUCACUGAAAAAGCUUGUAGCUUCGCAAACUGGUUAUAUCAGGUCGAUUAAGAGUGCGGAUGACCGCAAGCGAAAGUCAAUAAAGGUGAGAGAAGUAGAGGUACGAGUAUCAAGGAAAAAAAGAAAAAAGGAGGAAGCCUCUACCACCGUUCAGAAUAUUGCGGAUAUUACUUUGCGAGAAGUACCGUCCAUUUCGCUCUACGAUGGAAAAGAGAUGAGCAAUGAUUCUAGUUUUGGUUCAGUGCCAUCCAAGGAAAUUAUGGAAAUUCUUGCACCAUUGCCCGGAUCUCAGGAGACGAAUCAAUCGUGGGUUGUAGAUCAACCCACUCUCGUAUCAUCGCAAGAGCCGGAUAGACUUUUACAGAGCUCUGUACUGAUGGAAAUGGAUGAAGCUGAAUGCCGGCAUAACGUUAAUCCACAUGAUGGAUUUAAUAAUGAGAUGGAAAUCCUUGGGCAAUCCAAAGAAGACGCUGUUUUACCCAUUAUUCACCAAAACCUAAAUGAGGUGAACUUGGAUGAGAUCGAACAUCCCAACGAAAAUGAAGCAAUUGGGAACCUUUGCAGAGAUAACUCUGCAUUAAAUUCUAAGGAAGAAAGCCAAAUCCCACAGCGCAACACUUUAGUCGAAUCCUACGAAGUACAGGAUGAAGUCAAACUUCCGAAUAGAAAACGAAAAGCUAAUUGCUUGAAUAAGAUUAGCUUCAAGCGUUACAAAAACUGGUUGUCAACUUCUGUGACUACACAAAGAUGUACUCAUUCAAAGUUUGACGUAGCAGUGAUCAAACGUGAUAAAAGGGAUUUAAAUGUUGUAUUCCGCCAACCGCUGCGGCGGUCAGCUUUAGAAUAUUUAUUUGAAAGGAAUGCAGUCCUACAAAGAACACCAACUGGAGAGGGGUAUACAGCUGGAAGCAGACGGUCAUCUAUAACCCAAAAACAGC